AUUUAUAUUAUAAAUUCAUUUAUGUCUAUGUGGACAACUUCUAUUUGAAUUAAACAGUCAAUUUUAACUGAGUGUAAAUGGCAUAAUUAUUUAAUCUGUAUUUUAACCAACCAAUCAGAUAACAGAUAUAUUCUGAGGUAAAUAUUUAUCUGCGACAAGAAAGAUCGCAAAUUUUCUCUGGACAAUUUUUGAUUUAUAUAUAUACACUCUGGUGACAAUUGAUUCACAACAAACAGUAAAUACAUUUGUACUAAGGAUUAUUAUUUUUUCAGCGAGAAUUCGUUACAAAUAAUGAGUAGUUUAUACACUUAGAAGUCAUCAAACUUGUUGACCUAUAUUUACCCACGCACAUACUUCGUGGUCGAUGAAUCAGUCACUUGAUGCUGACAAUAUUUAUUACGAUUUUGCUAAAUAUAAGAAGAUAACUGAUAUAUAUAUAUUAUAUUUGCUAACUUGAGAUGAGGAUUUAUUCAAAUUCGCUAUGAACUUUAGAAACUUUACUUUCGUAUGGUUAUAGUAUUAAAAAAUUUUGCAAUACUGGUACGAAGGAAUCACGUGAUAUUAUGUUUGUGUGGAAAAUCACGUGACAUUGUGACCGACUUUUUAAUGUAAACAACUCAACAAUAAACAUCAGUCAACAGUUAUGGAGAAGUCUUUAAAUGGGGAAAAUUUACACGUAACUUUAUUGGGUCACAGCUUUAUAAGAAGACUAAAUCGCUUUAUGGAUAGUUGUGACAAAUUUGAUAAUCUGCGUUUGUUGAAGAGUAAUUUUCUAAUUAAUUGUCGUGCACAGGGUGGACUAACAGUAGCCAGACUAGCUCAGCAAAAACAACUAUGUACUUUUAGUUAUCACCCUCACAUAUUUUUUCUACAAAUAGGUGGAAAUGAUGCAGCUAAUAGGAGAACUAAUGCAUACUAAAUUGCUCAAGACAUUUUUGCAUUUGCUAUGUACUUACACUAUGGUUUAAAUGUAAACUAUGUCGUUAUUGGACAGUUGUUAUACAGGAGUGAAUCUGUAACAUAUGUAGGAUAUAAUGAUAAAAUUAUUCAAAUCAACACACUUUUACAAGCCAAAAUCAAAGAGCAUGAUGAAAAUGCAAUUUCUUUUUGACACCACCGUGGAUUUUGGGACAAUUUAGAUUUUUUAUGUUUUGAUGGAGUGAAUCUUAACCAUUUUGGAAUGCGCAAAUACUUUAAAAGUGUUCGUUCUGCUGUACUGCAUACAUCCAACCAGUGACACUGUAUUAUAUUGUACAUUUAGUAUCUGAAGUCCUAAUUCAAUUCCACAAACUGCCAGGAGAUGCCUCCCAAACGAGGAAAGUCCGGCCAAAGCGACCAUACUAAA